AGCGAACGCUGGCGGCAGGCUUAACACAUGCAAGUCGAGCGGGCCUUUCGGGGCCAGCGGCGGACGGGUGAGUAACGCGUGGGAACGUGCCCUCUGGUUCGGAAUAACUCAGGGAAACUUGAGCUAAUACCGGAUACGCCCUUUUGGGGAAAGGCUUGCUGCCGGAGGAUCGGCCCGCGUCUGAUUAGCUAGUUGGUGAGGUAACGGCUCACCAAGGCGACGAUCAGUAGCUGGUCUGAGAGGAUGAUCAGCCACACUGGGACUGAGACACGGCCCAGACUCCUACGGGAGGCAGCAGUGGGGAAUAUUGGACAAUGGGCGCAAGCCUGAUCCAGCCAUGCCGCGUGAGUGAUGAAGGCCUUAGGGUUGUAAAGCUCUUUUAUCCGGGACGAUAAUGACGGUACCGGAGGAAUAAGCCCCGGCUAACUUCGUG
rnacentral:rRNA from 1 species